rnacentral:lncRNA from 1 species
CAGCUGCGGAACAGUCGAGCGUCGACUGCGGGGUGGUCGACUCUGCAGCAGCGAAAGCACAAGGGGCUGACGGCACGGUAGCGAGUGAGCGGUUCUGGAACACUGAGACUCGAUUCGCUGCGGCUGUGAUGACGUCGACUGUCAGGUGGUGCCUGCUAGCGGUGGCGGCGCUGUUCGUCGCAGCCCCAGAGGUCGCCGCUCAGAACCCGGGUGAGUCGCUGCA